GGGGAAUCUUCCGCAAUGGGCGAAAGCCUGACGGAGCAACGCCGCGUGAGUGAUGACGGUCUUCGGAUUGUAAAGCUCUGUCUUUUGGGACGAUAAUGACGGUACCAAAGGAGGAAGCCACGGCUAACUACGUGCCAGCAGCCGCGGUAAUACGUAGGUGGCAAGCGUUGUCCGGAUUUACUGGGCGUAAAGGAUGUGUAGGCGGAUACUUAAGUGAGAUGUGAAAGCCCCGGGCUCAACCUGGGGACUGCAUUUCAAACUGGGCAUCUAGAGUGCAGGAGAGGAAAGCGGAAUUCCUAGUGUAGCGGUGAAAUGCGUAGAGAUUAGGAAGAACAUCAGUGGCGAAGGCGGCUUUCUGGACUGUAACUGACGCUGAGGCAUGAAAGCGUGGGGAGCAAAC
rnacentral:rRNA from 1 species